AUUGAACGCUGGCGGCAUGCCUAACACAUGCAAGUCGAACGGGGGUAGCGAUACCCUAGUGGCGGACGGGUGAGGAAUGCGUAGGAAUCUACCCACGAGAGGGGGACAACCUGGGGAAACUCAGGCUAAUACCGCAUACGCUCGUAAGAGGAAAGCGGGGGAUCUUCGGACCUCGCGCUGGUGGAAGAGCCUACGUCCGAUUAGCUGGUUGGUGAGGUAAAGGCUCACCAAGGCGACGAUCGGUAGCGGGUCUGAGAGGACGGCCCGCCACACUGGGACUGAGACACGGCCCAGACUCCUACGGGAGGCGGCAGUGGGGAAUAUUGGACAAUGGGCGCAAGCCUGAUCCAGCAAUGCCGCGUGGGUGAAGACGGCCUGCGGGUUGUAAAGCCCUUUAGGCGGGGAGGAACGACGGGACGCGAAUACCGUUUCGAAGUGACGUUACCCGCAGGAUAAGCACCGGCUAACUCCGUG
rnacentral:rRNA from 1 species